UCCCCAAUCUCUCUCCCCGUCACCCGCCGCCCGCGUCGUCUCUCCCGGCGACGACGUGCCGGCCUCUCCUCUCCUCCCAAGCUCCCCAGCCGACCACCCCGCCCGCCCCUGACUUCCUCUUUCCCGCGCUUCUCCCUCCCACAGCCACCGCCGCUCGAGCUGCCACGCCAGCCGCAGCGGCUACAGCCCUCCCCUCUGCUCCCACCGCCGUCGAGGGUGCCCCCGCGGCGCUCCAGUCGCCGCCGUGAUCCGCAGCAGGCCACGCGCAGUCGAAACCCAUCGGAAUCCCCGCGCCGCCAUGCUUCGCCUCCAAAGCUGCAUCGCCUCCCAUCUCCUCUCGUCUCCAUCCGCCCAUCUCCGCCGCCUCCUCUCCGCGGCCGCGCCCGCCGUUUCCCCGAGCACGGGAUUCGCUGCGGAGGAGUACCUCGUCGCCACCUGCGGCCUCACCCGAGCGCAGGCCCUCAAGGCUUUCCCGAAGGUCUCCCACCUCAAGUCCCCCUCCAAUCCCGACGCCGUCCUCGCCUUCCUCGGAGGCCUCGGCCUCUCCAGAGCCGACGUCGCCGCCGCCGUCGCCAAGGACCCCAGGCUACUCUGCGCCCGCGUGGAGAGUACUCUGGCCCCCAACUUCGCUGCGCUCAGCGGCAUCGGGCUGUCGCGCUCCGAGAUCGUGCGCCUCCUCCGCUUGCGCUGCAGAUCUGUCGUCUCCAAGCUGCAGUACUACCUGACCCUCUUCGGCUCCUCCGAGGCCUUCCUUCAGGCGCUGAAGUUCAACUGCAACCUCCUCACACACAGCAUCGAGAGUGCGGUCGAGCCCAAUGUAGCGUUGCUGCGGGAGUGCGGGCUGGGUGAUCGCGACAUUUCCAAGCUAUGCGUUGGUAUGCCAUGGCUGCUGACUGCCAACCCAGAAUGCAUCGGAUCAAUGGUUGCUCGCGCCGACGGUCUUGGCGUGAGCCGGGAAUCUCCCAUGUUCAGGCACGCGAUGCAUGCUGUUGCAUUCCACAGCGAGGAGAAGAUUGCUGCCAAAAUGGAGUACCUGAAAAAGACGCUCAGGUGGUCGGAUGCUGAGGUGCGCAUUGCUUUGUCCAAGUCUCCAAUGAUGCUGAGGAGUUCUGAGGGCAUGGUGCAGCGCAUGUCAGAGUUCCUCUACUCUGAGAUGGGGUUGGAACCAGCAUACAUUGCUCAUCGUCCGGCAAUGCUCGCUUACAGUCUGGAGCGCCGGAUCAGACCCAGGUACUACGUUGUUAAGUAUCUUAAGGAAAAUGGAUUGGUAAGUCGUGACCGGGACUACUAUUCCGCACUCACGCCGUCCGAGAUGGUAUUCUUGGAGAAGUACAUAUGCCCUCACAAGCAAGCUGCGCCGUACCUUGCUGAAGACUAUGAUGAUGCUUGCAGAGGACAAGUGCCCGAUAGGUUCAGAUUUGCAUGAACCAAGAACAAGGCCACUGUUGUUGUGUAGCAAGAUCCUCCUCCUUGCUAUAUAGGAGUAUUAGCAUUCUCUUAAUCUUUGAGUGUUUUUAAUCUGUGGGCAUGCACCUGCAAUACCUCAUGACAAGUGAUGAUCCCUUUGAGUAGGUUUCCCGUUUGUCUAUUAAAAGUGUUCCUUUAUCCUUAUCAGUGUGCCAGCUCAUACACCGUACCGAGCCCGUCUCUGUUGUACUUCGUAAGAAUGAGCUAUAUACUGACUACCUCUUGACCUUGUGUUGGCAUAGCAGAGUACUCAUGGAUGGGCCGGGUACUGGUAUAUGGAACUCGGAUGUCAGGUUAGAUAUCAUAAGCGUUGCAAUGCCUUCCAUCAAUAAUGAUGGUGUUCCACGUCUCCAAGUCCAACCAGGGAGGCGCCGCUCGAGUCGAAUACCUAGGAAACUGUAAACCCUGUCCGCCAUUUGUGCGGAUCCCAGGCUUGUAAAUGUGGAAAAUUUGGCUGAAUUAUUGACUCCCGGUUGGUUAAAACAGAACCAGAGUCCCACGGGCAUUGUGGUGGGCACGUCGUUCCCCUGCACUUGACAGGUUUUUCUCC